rnacentral:rRNA from 1 species
CCUGAGAAACCCGAAAGAUCGAAUGGGGAGAUUCAUCGUCAGCGAUUUUGGUACGUGUGCGGUUCGCGAUGCCGGAGACUUCGGUCCCAUGGCACGCGUCCGCAUGUUUUUUAUUGCCUGAAUCGUCGGCGUGCACUUCUCCCCUAGUAGGACGUCGCGACCCGUUGGGUGUCGGUCUACGGCCCGGGCGGUAGCCUGUCUCGCGUGCGCUUAACGGCGUUGCGCGUGGCAGACCCCUGUGUGUCUGGCCGGCUGCCCGGCGGUACUCGCACGGUAUCUGGCCGCAAAUAUUCGAACUGCGUCCGGCCCGUCGCAAGCGAGGCAAGUGUUUCCCGGCUGUACGGAUCUAAUGCCGUCACCGGGCCUUGCCAGCUGUUGGUUGACGGUGUCCUAGGACUGGCUAAUAAAAUUAUGAUACCGGUCGGCGACGCUACUGCUUUGGGUACUUUCAGGACCCGUCUUGAAACACGGACCAAGGAGUCUAACAUGUGCGCGAGUCAUUGGGAUCUAUUAAGCCUAAAGGCGCAAUGAAAGUGAAGGUCGGCCCUGCGCCGACCGAGGGAGGAUGGGCCGCGUCACGAUGCGGUCCCGCACUCCCGGGGCGUCUCGUUCUCAUUGCGAGAAGAGGCGCACCAGAGCG